rnacentral:rRNA from 1 species
GAUGAACGCUGGCGGCGUGCUUAACACAUGCAAGUCGAACGGAAAGGCCCAAGCUUGCUUGGGUACUCGAGUGGCGAACGGGUGAGUAACACGUGGGUGAUCAGCCCUGAACUUCGGGAUAAGCCUGGGAGAAUGGGCCUAAUACCGGAUAGGACCACAUUUAGGAAGGCGUGAAGGAACGUUCUUGGGUGUGGGAUGAGCUAGCGGCCUAGCAGCGUGUUGGUGUGGUAAUGGCCUACCAAGGCGUCGACGGGUAGCCGGCCAGGGAGUGGGAACGGCCACAUUGGGACUGCGAUACGGCCCCGGCUCCUACGGGAGGCAGCAGUGGGGGUUAUUGCACAAUGGGCGCAAGCCUGAUGCAGCGACGCCGCGUGGGGGAUGACUGCCUUCGGGUUGUAAACUCCUUUCGCUAGGGACGAAGCGCAAGUGACGGUACCUGGAGAAGAAGCACCGGCUAACUACGUG